rnacentral:misc_RNA from 1 species
AAGUCGUAACAAGGUUUCCGUAGGUGAACCUGCGGAAGGAUCAUUAUCGGUUGUUAAUGUGCGUAGUCAUUUCUUCAAAUGACAUUGCGUUACAUAAACCGUAUACUGUUGAACGAUUGUCGCUCGCAAAACUAUUAUAUGUUUUAACGAGUAUGUCAGUUGACUCGAGGCUGUUCUCACGAGCGGCCUUUGAGCGACCGAUGUUAACUGCUACUCGGGGCACGGCGCACUUUAUUGUGCUAACCGUGCUUGUGCCGUUUAUUUUGCUAAACUUAUCAAUGUUAAAAACUAUUGAGAGAAUGAAUAAAAAUAAUAAAAAUAUAACUGCAAACGGUGGAUCACUCGGCUCACG